GCCGGGUGUGGUGACGCACUCCUGUAAUCCCAGCUACUGUGGAGGCUGAAGCAGGAGGAUCCCAGCCUCAGCAAUUUAGCAAGACCUGAGCAACUCAGCAAGACCCUGUAUCUA
rnacentral:sRNA from 1 species